rnacentral:rRNA from 1 species
UGGGGAAUUUUCCGCAAUGGGCGAAAGCCUGACGGAGCCAGACCGCGUGAGGGAAGAAAGUCUUUGGAUCGUAAACCUCUUUUCUCAAGGAAGAAUGAUGACGGUACUUGAGGAAUCAGCAUCGGCUAACUCCGUGCCAGCAGCCGCGGUAAGACGGAGGAUGCAAGCGUUAUCCGGAAUUAUUGGGCGUAAAGCGUCCGCAGGUGGUGCUUCAAGUCUGCUGUCAAAGACCGGAGCUCAACUCCGGAGAGGCAGUGGAAACUGAAGGACUAGAGUGUGGUAGGGGUAGAGGGAAUUCCCAGUGUAGCGGUGAAAUGCGUAGAGAUUGGGAAGAACACCGGUGGCGAAAGCGCUCUACUGGACCACAACUGACACUCAGAGGACGAAAGCUAGGGGAGCGAAAGGGAUUAGAUACCCCCGUAGUCC